rnacentral:rRNA from 1 species
AAGGGCUUAAANCUCCAAAGGAAUNGAUCGGGGGGCCCGCCNCACAAGCGGUGGAGCAUGUGGUUUUAAUUUCGACGCAACGCGAAGCACCUUACCUGGGCUAGAGCUCACUUAAAAUUCUGCGGAAAACGUGGAAGUGCUCGCAAGAGAAUUAGUGGUGAGGUGCUGCAUGGCUGUUCGUCAGCUUCGUGUCGUGAGAUGUUGGGUUAAGUCCCGCAACGAGCGCCAACCCCUAUCGUCUAGUUGCCAGCGGUUCGGCCGGGCACUCUUAGCGAGACUGCCGAUCUUCAAAUUCGGAGGAAGGUGGGGACGACGUCAAGUCAUCAUGGCCCUUAUGUCCAGGGCUACACACGUNCUACAAUGGUGGGGUACAAGUGAANCGCAAGGCACGGGAAGGUGCAANGCCUAAAUCCCCCAAAAAAACCCACCUCAGUAACAGAAUAAAGAGGUUUGCAANNNGACUCUUUGAAGUCNGAAUCGNUAG